GCUUGGACAAAUAUCAGGGAAAUCACCUAGUAUCUUUACCUCUGUUGGAAUGUGAACUUGAGAAGUUAUGGUUCUUAAUCUACUUCAUUGAUCUCUAGACACACUCUUAACCUUGGGUGCAGUUGUAAUUAAGGUACGUCAUAUUAUAUUCAAGAACAAUGAUAACAUACCGAUUGUAAUAACCCCAAAAGUGGUGUAUGGGGUGGGUAGUGUACAUAGACUUUACCCCUACCUAAAUAGGUAGAGAUAUUGUUUCUGAUAGACCCUUGGCUCAUACAUCAUAUUAGAUCUCAAAUUUUUUUUUUUUGGAUUCUCUUACUAAUGACCCAAAAAAAAAUGUAUUUUGUAGUUACAUUAGCCCUGAAGUAUUUGCAAUAAAUCACCUUGGAGUUAUUUGGAACAAUGAUUUUAUAAGUGGAGAAAGGCUAUUGCUAUGUUGAUAAAGAUCUUGGCAUCUAGUGAGAGAAAUUAGAAUGCUAUAUUUAUGUUAUUAUGUAUUCAUGAUGAAGAACGGAUCAUUAAAAAUGUCAAGAUAUUGCCAUAUUUGUACUAUCUAAAUGAGUUGUGUGGAAAAACUAAUGAAUACUGAGUUUAGACACGUCCCUCGAAUUCAAAAUGAGUUAGAAUGCUUUAGCGAUGUUGUCAUCAAUGAUACAACAUCGAAACAAGAAUUUCGUCGAUCUCAUCAAGGUAGAAAUACUUGACCGACUAUGAAGUGAUUGAAUCAUUGUGCAAUGUCUUAAUCAAAUGCCUAGUGGCAUGGUAUAAGCCGAUGAUCGUAAGCUAUGUCCGUCGCAAUUUUCCAAUGAAACUAUUCAUGGAUCAUGCGUCAUGUAAAAUGUAUAUCAUUUCCGUUCGUAACCGAGACUCAUGUUAAGCUUUGUCCUAAAACCGUGUGGUAUUAAGAGUAAAACAUCCCGAGAUUUGCGCAUCUUUUUGAGUAUGGAGAAUUAUUGAGAUACAUAAUUCUUUUUCUUUGAAGUUGUUUCUUUUUCCGCCCCAUUCCCAACAUAGUGUUUCACUUGCAGUUCUUUGAAAGAAUCAACUUGGGUCUGCAUUGUUCAUUGAUUUGGGUGAUUGUCAACAUGUGUAUGGUGACUAGAGAGGAAGAUUUCUUAAAUUCAUACAUUUUGAAAUUGGAAUGUGCAAUAAU
rnacentral:lncRNA from 1 species